ensembl:lncRNA
UCUGGCUGAAGUGUGGAGAACAGAGAGGAUGGAGGUCUUGCAGAAGUCCAGGCAAGAGAAGGAGAGCUUGGACUAGAGAACCUGAAAUGGCAUCGGACACUAAGAGAAGUGGACAGACGGACACUGUACAGGCAGAGUGAUCCCAUGUUUCAGUAAAAAGGGAUAGCUUUAUAAUUCAAAAGCAACAGAGAGCUAAUAAAUGGUCGGAAGACUUCUUUUUUCUGUAAAACAAAGCUGGGCUGGAAAUGCCAGGAGAAGCAAGAUCAAAGAAGUCUAAGAGAGCCUGUGCAUCACAAAGUCUCAGCCAAUGGUAAUGCUCUACAAAUCACGCAUGAUGAAU